ensembl:piRNA 21ur-14406 ncRNA
UUCAGUCAGGAGAAAAACUUG